GGGUGAUUAGCUCAGAUGGAUAGAGCGCUUGCUCGACACGCAAGAGGUCACUGGUUCGAUUCCAGUAUCGCCCA
rnacentral:tRNA from 1 species